rnacentral:piRNA from 1 species
UGAAUGGCUCCAAAUGUUGUGACAAAGC